CACGUAGGGCGCGAGCGUUGUCCGGAAUUAUUGGGCGUAAAGAGCUCGUAGGCGGCCUGUUGCGUCCGCUGUGAAAGCCCGGGGCUUAACCCCGGGUCUGCAGUGGAUACGGGCAGGCUAGAGGUAGGUAGGGGAGAAUGGAAUUCCCGGUGUAGCGGUGAAAUGCGCAGAUAUCGGGAGGAACACCGGUGGCGAAGGCGGUUCUCUGGGCCUUACCUGACGCUGACGAGCGAAAGCGUGGGGAGCGAACAGG
rnacentral:rRNA from 1 species